GAUGAACGCUGGCGGCGUGCCUUAGACAUGCAAGUCGAACGAAGCAUCUUUCUCCGAUCCCUUCGGGGUGAAGAGACUGAUGACUUAGUGGCGAACGGGUGAGUAACACGUGGGUGACCU
rnacentral:rRNA from 1 species